AUUGAACGCUGGCGGCAUGCCUAACACAUGCAAGUCAAGCGAGGUGUAGCAAUACAUCUAGCGGCGGACGGGUGAGGAAUACAUAGGAAUUUGCCUUUAAGUGGGGGAUAGCCCGGGGAAACUCGGAGUAAUACCGCAUGAUGUCGAAAGACCAAAGCGAGGGGACCGCAAGGCCUUGCGCUUUUAGAGAAGCCUAUGUCGGAUUAGCUAGUUGGUGAGGUAAUGGCUCACCAAGGCAACGAUCCGUAGCUGGUUUGAGAGAACGAUCAGCCACACCGGAACUGAGACACGGUCCGGACUCCGUACGGGAGGCAGCAGUGGGGAAUAUUGGACAAUGGGCGAAAGCCUGAUCCAGCAAUGCCGCGUGUG
rnacentral:rRNA from 1 species